UACGUAGGGUGCGAGCGUUAAUCGGAAUUACUGGGCGUAAAGCGUGCGCAGGCGGUGAUGGAAGUCUCAUGUGAAAUCUCCAAGCUUAACUUGGAAAUGGCAUGGGAUACUAUUCGGCUAGAGGAUUGGAGGGGGGACUGGAAUUCCCGGUGUAGCAGUGAAAUGCGUAGAUAUCGGGAGGAACACCAGUGGCGAAGGCGAGUCCCUGGACAAUUCCUGACGCUGAGGCACGAAAGCUAGGGGAGCAAACAGG
rnacentral:rRNA from 1 species